UACGGAGGGUGCAAGCGUUAUCCGGAUUCACUGGGUUUAAAGGGUGCGUAGGUGGUCAGGUAAGUCCGUGGUGAAAUCUCUGAGCUUAACUCAGAAACUGCCGUGGAUACUAUCUGUCUUGAAUAUUGUGGAGGUAAGCGGAAUAUGUCAUGUAGCGGUGAAAUGCUUAGAUAUGACAUAGAACACCAAUUGCGAAGGCAGCUUACUACACAGUAAUUGACGCUGAGGCACGAAAGCGUGGGGAUCAAACAGG
rnacentral:rRNA from 1 species